AUUUAUAUAGUUUAACAAAAACAUUACAUUUUCAUUGUAAAAUUAAAAUGAUUAUUUUUAUAAAUU
rnacentral:tRNA from 1 species